CGGUAAGGCCCUUCGGGGUACACGAGUGGCGAACGGGUGAGUAACACGUUGGGUGAUCUGCCCUGCACUUCGGGAUAAGCCUGGGAAACUGGGUCUAAUACCGGGAUAGGACCAUGGACUUCACGGGUUUGUGGUGGAAAGCUUUUGCGGUGUGGGAUGGGCCCGCGGCCUAUCAGCUUGUUGGUGGGGUAAUGGCCUACCAAGGCGACGACGGGUAGCCGGCCUGAGAGGGUGUCCGGCCACACUCGGGACUGAGAUACGGCCCAGACUCCUACGGGAGGCAGCAGUGGGGAAUAUUGCACAAUGGGCGCAAGCCUGAUGCAGCGACGCCGCGUGAGGGAUGACGGCCUUCGGGUUGUAAACCUCUUUCAAUAGGGACGAAGCGCAAGUGACGGUACCUAUAGAAGAAGCACCGGCCAACUACGUG
rnacentral:rRNA from 1 species